GGAGGAGGGGAGGAACCUGAUCCUCGGUAGCGAAGGGCUGGAGGCAAACACCGAGCUCCCCCUGAGCCGCCUGGGAGCAGGGAGGGUUCUGCUACCCUGAGGGGCCCUCCCCGCGGGGCAGAGGGGACCAGCCCAACAUGGCUUCCAACACAGAGACCAGAAGGACCCAAUAAGAGACCGAAGACACGACUGAUAAUACAGAAAGGAGGGUGAUGCUGUGUGCAAGGCAGAUACAAGAUGGUUUUUCCAUAAGAGGAAGUGAUCAUGGCAACCAUGACCUUCUCUGACCUUCUCUCUUCCAAGAGGCUGUUGGGAAGGUGGGAUGACCUAGGAUUGACCUUGGACUUGACAUCACAGAAGCCAUUUCAACCUUCACAGGGUUUCCUCAGCAGUGCCCCGGAGCAGGGACCGCGCCAGCCAGCAGAAACAGCUAGUUGUUGUCUGCAGUGAAGAAUAAUUGGAAGCAUGGUGCCUGUUUCUUUUCCUCUCAUCCUCGUCUACGGCCAAACGUUGGUUUCUCAUUUCUAGAAGAUGAAAGAUGUGAUGACUCAGGAAAAACUGGAAUCUUAGUAACUGUGGUGGGCAUUGAGCCUUGCCGUCCACAAGAGAAAGCUUGCUGCUCGAGAUGUGAGUCUUCAGAUGUUCCUGCCGCCAUAUCUGACAGCUGCUGCCAAGAUUCCCUGGUGGGAUGGACUCUUAUACCUCAACAACCAGAAGCCCAAGUAAACUCUUCUAUAAAUUGAAUGACUCAUGCUUAAAAAAAAAAACAAAAAACAAACUAUCUUUA
rnacentral:lncRNA from 1 species